rnacentral:rRNA from 1 species
AUGUGCAAGGGCCUCGCCUUCAUGGCCCUUCUAAACCCAUGGAUGAUCUGGAAACACCGCAACGAUUACGUCUUUAACGGUGCCCAGCCAUGCGUGAAUGACCUAAUUGUGAAGAUAAAGGAGGAGACGGCGCUCUGGGCCAAGGCAGGAGCUGCCGGCCUACGGGACACCAUGCCCCAAACAUGGGAUGUGCACUGA